GGGAAUGUGGCUUAGUGGUAGAGUGUUUGCCUGGCAUGCAUGAAACGCUGGGUCCCAUUCCUC
rnacentral:tRNA from 1 species